UACGGAGGGUGCAAGCGUUGUUCGGAAUUACUGGGCGUAAAGGGCGCGUAGGCGGCCUGCUAAGUCGGACGUGAAAUCCCUCGGCUUAACCGAGGAACUGCGUCCGAUACUGGUGGGCUUGAAUCCGGGAGAGGGAUGUGGAAUUCCAGGUGUAGCGGUGAAAUGCGUAGAUAUCUGGAGGAACACCGGUGGCGAAGGCGGCAUCCUGGACCGGUAUUGACGCUGAGGCGCGAAAGCUAGGGGAGCAAACGGG
rnacentral:rRNA from 1 species